rnacentral:tRNA from 1 species
AAUAGCAAGGGUGUUGCGAAACGCAUAAUCCCCUGUCUUGACGUAAAAAAUGGCAGAGUCGUA